rfam:Xiphophorus maculatus strain JP 163 A Contig17968.1, whole genome shotgun sequence.
AUCGCUUCUCGGCCUUUUGGCUAAGAUCAAAGUGUAGUAUCUGUUCUUAUCAGCUUAAUAUCUGAUACGGCCCCUACAUGGGGCCCAGAAUAUUAAACUGAUUUUUGGAAACCGGAGGGAUGUCGGGGCUUGCUCCGCUCCCUUCACGCGUUGGCCCGGUAUUGCAGUACCUCCGGGAUCGGCGCACCCCUU